CCUCAGCGCACGUCGUCUUUGAAGCGCCCUCACGUUUUAAUUACGUCACCCACAUGCCGUUGGUUGGUCUCGUUUUAAAGUGCGGAAGUUGCGGUUUACUCUCGUUAUUAUUUGAAGUCAAUCGACCAACUAGAACGUGAGAUAUUGUCAUUUAAGUUUUAUGGUUUUAUUGUCCUCUCAAAAAAACAUUAAAACGCUGCAUGGAUCAUUUGUUUAUGUCUAUAUUUCCAUCAUUUCUAGUCCUUUUUCAAAACGGAAGCUCCAUGAAAAAAACACAAAUCAAACGAACCCUUUCGAAGUCACAGUGGAAGCACAAAAUGCGUUUGUUUUUUUUUGUUUUUUUUUAUAAAUAUAACUGCGGUGCGAGGUUCAACCGAACGAGAGGGAGGAGGAGUGUUCUGAAGCAGCGAGGUGGCGAGCGACGGCCAGUUGGAUACUGCUGGAUCGAGCAGCGACUUUGUGUGACUUUGACAAUGAACGGAAAACUAAAUUUAGCGCAAGCAAUUGUGCUUCUGAUCAACUUGAGGAAGAGGAUGGUCCAAAUUCGUCAUCAUCGUCUUCUUCGGAAGAGUCCUCGAGUGAAGAUAGUGACGGAUUUGAACACGUGGGUGACGCCAUCGACGAGCAGAGUGACAAUGAAAGCAAAGUGAAAUGAAAAUGGAAGGGUGGAAAGAGGACCGACACCCCAUGGAAGUGUGAGCUGUGUGAUGUAGCCGUGUCUAAUUCCAGGACGAAACUGCUUUUCGGAGUGGCAUGACUGAAAAAAAUUUAACUUGUUUAUUGUAAAUAUUUUUGAAAAUGCUUUUUUCCCCCCAAUGUUAUAUAUAUAUUUUUUUCCCACAUCAAUCUUCUCAAUUUGUGUAUAUAAAUGUGUGUUCAAGAAGCUUGAUUGUGUGUACAUAGUUUUCAUCAGGCGAUUGGCCGCAAUACCUAAACUCAUAAAGAGAUGGCCUCUAAACACUUUUUGUGUUAGAUGGUAUAUAUUUUUUCACUGUUCUUCACUGUUAGGUCUGCUGUAUAUAACCUGUUUUGACUGGAGCAUGUAUAAAGGCAAAAAACGCCUAUGGCUAUACCUGUUGUUUAUGUUGAAUUGUCAAAUAUAAGACUAUUUAUUCUAAUUUUUUUUGGUUGAAUGUU